CCCGGCACAAGCGGUGGAGUAUGUGGUUAAUUCGAUGCAACGCGAAGAACCUUACCUGGUCUUGACAUCCCGGAGACCCUUAGGAAACUAGGGGUGCUUCCAUCUGGAAGAAUCUGGAGACAGGUGCUGCAUGGCUGUCGUCAGCUCGUGUCGUGAGAUGUUGGGUUAAGUCCCGCAACGAGCGCAACCCUUGCCUUUAGUUGCCAGCAGUUCGGCUGGGCACUCUAAAGGGACUGCCGGUGUUAAACCGGAGGAAGGUGGGGAUGACGUCAAGUCCUCAUGGCCUUUAUGACCAGGGCUACACACGUACUACAAUGGCCGAUACAAAGGGCAGCGACACUGCGAGGUGAAGCCAAUCCCGUAAAAUCGGUCUCAGUCCGGAUUGGAGUCUGCAACUCGAUUCCAUGAAGUUGGAAUCGCUAGUAAUCGUGGAUCAGCAUGCCACGGUGAAUACGUUCCCGGGCCUU
rnacentral:rRNA from 1 species